rnacentral:rRNA from 1 species
CCAGCACCUGCGGUAAUUCCAGCUCCAAUAGCGUAUAUUAAAGUUGUUGCAGUUAAAAAGCUCGUAGUUGAACUUUGGGCCUGGGCGGGCGGUCUACCUAUGGUGAGUACUGCUGCGGCCGGGUCUUUCCUUCUGGCUAGCCCUUGUGGCGAACCAGGACGAUUACUUUGAGGAAAUUAGAGUGUUCAAAGCAGGCCUUUGCUCGGAUAUAUUAGCAUGGAAUAAUAGAAUAGGACGUAUGGUUCUAUUUUGUUGGUUUCUAGGACCAUCGUAAUGAUUAAUAGGGACGGUCGGGGGCAUCAGUAUUCAGUUGUCAGAGGUGAAAUUCUUGGAUUAACUGAAGACUAACU